rnacentral:rRNA from 1 species
CGGGUGAGUAACGCGUGGAAAACCUGCCGUAUACUGGGGGAUAACACUUAGAAAUAGGUGCUAAUACCGCAUAAGCGCACAGCUUCGCAUGAAGUGGUGUGAAAAACUCUGGUGGUAUACGAUGGUUCCGCGUCUGAUUAGCUUGUUGGUGGGGCAAUGGCUCACCAAGGCGACGAUCAGUAGCCGGCCUGAGAGGGUGAACGGCCACAUUGGGACUGAGACACGGCCCAAACUCCUACGGGAGGCAGCAG